ACUGCGUGUCAUGCGGAGGGUUUGUGCAAGCUCUCUGGGCGGCGACGCUAGCCACGGAGCUGGCCUCCCUCCCUUCCAUCAGCUGCGAUAUACUACAAGCACUGGGCUACAGCUGCAGCUAGCCCAUGGGUACCGUUCUGCGUCCUGUACUGCAUCUAGUUUGAAAGGCAGGUACCGGGGACCAUGACAUCAAUGAGCUGGCUUUCACCUUGUCCAAGGCAGCAGCGGAACACUACGGGCGGGACCCUGGAUCACUGCACCAUGGAUGCUGUCCUGUACCCUUCACGGCACUGCGUGUGGCUUAAGUGGCCAAGCAGGGGGUCAUUGCAUGACUUUUAUGAGGCGCCGCUAGCCAUUGUUUCAAACCGCCCUGAAUCGUGGAUCAAGCCUUGCAAGAUGGAAGUUCUCUUUAGGCCCAGCGCCUCUUGAUGGAUCAAGUCUUGUACCACAUUCCCUCGUGUCUUUCAUAUAAGUAAAUUGUUGGUAUUUCUUUUAUGACAGUGCGCAUUACCUGCCGACCACGUUUUACAGUCGAAACGCAGUGUACCAAAACUUCUUUUAUAUAGACCCCUUUCUUUGCA